rfam:Triticum urartu cultivar G1812 contig1235974, whole genome shotgun sequence.
GUAGUAUUCCCUCCGUCCCAAAAUUCUUGUCUUACAUUUGUUUAGAUAAGGAUGGAUCUAACACUAAAAUGUAACUAGAUACAUCUGUAUUUAGACAAAUUUAAGACAAGUAUUUAGGGACGGAGGGAGUACAAA